UACGAAGGGGGCUAGCGUUGCUCGGAAUCACUGGGCGUAAAGCGCACGUAGGCGGACUCUUAAGUCGGUGGUGAAAUCCUGGAGCUCAACUCCAGAACUGCCUUUGAUACUGAGAGUCUCGAGUCCGGGAGAGGUGAGUGGAACUGCGAGUGUAGAGGUGAAAUUCGUAGAUAUUCGCAAGAACACCAGUGGCGAAGGCGGCUCACUGGCCCGGUACUGACGCUGAGGUGCGAAAGCGUGGGGAGCAAACAGG
rnacentral:rRNA from 1 species